rnacentral:rRNA from 1 species
ACGGAAGGCAGCAGUGAGGAAUAUUGGUCAAUGGACGCAAGUCUGAACCAGCCAUGCCGCGUGCAGGAAUAAGGCCCUAUGGGUCGUAAACUGCUUUUGUGGUGGAGCAAUAAGUCGUACGUGUACGGCGAUGAGAGUACAUCACGAAUAAGCAUCGGCUAACUCCGUGCCAGCAGCCGCGGUAAUACGGAGGAUGCGAGCGUUAUCCGGAUUUAUUGGGUUUAAAGGGUGCGUAGGCGGGCUAUUAAGUCAGCGGUCAAAUCGUGUUGCUCAACAAUACUUAGCCGUUGAAACUGGUGGUCUUGAGUGUAAAUGAGGUAGGCGGAAUGUGACGUGUAGCGGUGAAAUGCUUAGAUAUGUCACAGAACCCCGAUUGCGAAGGCAGCUUACCAAGAUACAACUGACGCUGAGGCACGAAAGCGUGGGUAUCAAACAGGAUUAGAUACCCUGGUA